rnacentral:rRNA from 1 species
AUUGAACGCUGGCGGCAUGCCUAACACAUGCAAGUCGAACGGUAGCACGGUCUAGCUUGCUAGAUGGGUGACGAGUGGCGAACGGGUGAGUAACGCGUAGGAAUAUGCCUUGAAGAGGGGGACAACUUGGGGAAACUCAAGCUAAUACCGCAUAAGCUCUUAGGAGGGAAGCUGGGGACCGCAAGGCCUGGCGCUUCAAGAAUAGCCUGCGUCCGAUUAGCUAGUUGGUGGGGUAAAGGCCUACCAAGGCGACGAUCGGUAGCUGGUCUGAGAGGAUGGCCAGCCACACUGGAACUGAGACACGGUCCAGACUCCUACGGGAGGCAG